AACGAACGCUGGCGGCAUGCCUAACACAUGCAAGUCGAACGAGACCUUCGGGUCUAGUGGCGCACGGGUGCGUAACGCGUGGGAACCUGCCCUUAGGUUCGGAAUAACUCCCCGAAAGGGGUGCUAAUACCGGAUAAUGUCUUCGGACCAAAGAUUUAUCGCCUUUGGAUGGGCCCGCGUUGGAUUAGCUAGUUGGUAGGGUAAAAGCCUACCAAGGCGACGAUCCAUAGCUGGUCGGAGAGGAUGAUCAGCCACACUGGGACUGAGACACGGCCCAGACUCGUACGGGAGGCAGCAGUGGGGAAUAUUGGACAAUGGGCGAAAGCCUGAUCCAGCAAUGCCGCGUGAGUGAUGAAGGCCUUAGGGUUGUAAAGCUCUUUUACCCGGGAUGAUAAUGACAGUACCGGGAGAAUAAGCUCCGGCUAACUCCGU
rnacentral:rRNA from 1 species